rnacentral:rRNA from 1 species
AUUAAACGCUGGCGGCAUGCCUUACACAUGCAAGUCGAACGGCAGCACGGGGGCAACCCUGGUGGCGAGUGGCGGACGGGUGAGUAAAGCAUCGGAACGUAUCCUGGAGUGGGGGGAUAACGUAGUGAAAGUUACGCUAAUACCGCAUAUUCUGUGAGCAGGAAAGCAGGGGGAUCGCAAGACCUUGCGCUCUGGGAGCGGCCGAUGUCGGAUUAGCUAGUUGGUGGGGUAAAGGCCUACCAAGGCGACGAUCCGUAGCGGGUCUGAGAGGAUGAUCCGCCACACUGGGACUGAGACACGGCCCAGACUCCUACGGGAGGCAGCAGUGGGGAAUUUUGGACAAUGGGCGGAAGCCUGAUCCAGCCAUGCCGCGUGAGUGAAGAAGGCC